rnacentral:rRNA from 1 species
UGUGAGCUCGAUGAGUAGGGCGGGACACGUGGUAUCCUGUCUGAAUAUGGGGGGACCAUCCUCCAAGGCUAAAUACUCCUGACUGACCGAUAGUGAACCAGUACCGUGAGGGAAAGGCGAAAAGAACCCCGGCGAGGGGAGUGAAAAAGAACCUGAAACCGUGUACGUACAAGCAGUGGGAGCACGCUUAGGCGUGUGACUGCGUACCUUUUGUAUAAUGGGUCAGCGACUUAUAUUCUGUAGCAAGGUUAACCGAAUAGGGGAGCCGAAGGGAAACCGAGUCUUAACUGGGCGUUAAGUUGCAGGGUAUAGACCCGAAACCCGGUGAUCUAGCCAUGGGCAGGUUGAAGGUUGGGUAACACUAACUGGAGGACCGAACCGACUAAUGUUGAAAAAUUAGCGGAUGACUUGUGGCUGGGGGUGAAAGGCCAAUCAAACCGGGAGAUAGCUGGUUCUCCCCGAAAGCUAUUUAGGUAGCGCCUCGUGAAUUCAUCUCCGGGGGUAGAGCACUGUUUCGGCAAGGGGGUCAUCCCGACUUACCAACCCGAUGCAAACUGCGAAUACCGGAGAAUGUUAUCACGGGAGACACACGGCGGGUGCUAACGUCCGUCGUGAAGAGGGAAACAACCCAGACCGCCAGCUAAGGUCCCAAAGUCAUGGUUAAGUGGGAAACGAUGUGGGAAGGCCCAGACAGCCAGGAUGUUGGCUUAGAAGCAGCCAUCAUUUAAAGAAAGCGUAAUAGCUCACUGGUCGAGUCGGCCUGCGCGGAAGAUGUAACGGGGCUAAACCAUGCACCGAAGCUGCGGCAGCGACACUAUGUGUUGUUGGGUAGGGGAGCGUUCUGUAAGCCUGUGAAGGUGUGCUGUGAGGCAUGCUGGAGGUAUCAGAAGUGCGAAUGCUGACAUAAGUAACGAUAAAGCGGGUGAAAAGCCCGCUCGCCGGAAGACCAAGGGUUCCUGUCCAACGUUAAUCGGGGCAGGGUGAGUCGACCCCUAAGGCGAGGCCGAAAGGCGUAGUCGAUGGGAAACAGGUUAAUAUUCCUGUACUUGGUGUUACUGCGAAGGGGGGACGGAGAAGGCUAUGUUGGCCGGGCGACGGUUGUCCCGGUUUAAGCGUGUAGGCUGGUUUUCCAGGCAAAUCCGGAAAAUCAAGGCUGAGGCGUGAUGACGAGGCACUACGGUGCUGAAGCAACAAAUGCCCUGCUUCCAGGAAAAGCCUCUAAGCAUCAGGUAACAUCAAAUCGUACCCCAAACCGACACAGGUGGUCAGGUAGAGAAUACCAAGGCGCUUGAGAGAACUCGGGUGAAGGAACUAGGCAAAAUGGUGCCGUAACUUCGGGAGAAGGCACGCUGAUAUGUAGGUGAAGCGACUUGCUCGUGGAGCUGAAAUCAGUCGAAGAUACCAGCUGGCUGCAACUGUUUAUUAAAAACACAGCACUGUGCAAACACGAAAGUGGACGUAUACGGUGUGACGCCUGCCCGGUGCCGGAAGGUUAAUUGAUGGGGU